rnacentral:rRNA from 1 species
AUCCUGGCUCAGAGCGAACGCUGGCGGCAGGCUUAACACAUGCAAGUCGAGCGAGCGUAGCAAUACGUCAGCGGCAGACGGGUGAGUAACGCGUGGGAACGUACCUUUUGGUUCGGAACAACACAGGGAAACUUGUGCUAAUACCGGAUAAGCCCUUACGGGGAAAGAUUUAUCGCCGAAAGAUCGGCCCGCGUCUGAUUAGCUAGUUGGUGAGGUAAUGGCUCACCAAGGCGACGAUCAGUAGCUGGUCUGAGAGGAUGAUCAGCCACAUUGGGACUGAGACACGGCCCAAACUCCUACGGGAGGCAGCAGUGGGGAAUAUUGGACAAUGGGGGCAACCCUGAUCCAGCCAUGCCGCGUGAGUGAUGAAGGCCCUAGGGUUGUAAAGCUCUUUUGUGCGGGAAGAUAAUGACGGUACCGCAAGAA